AAAGAAAGAGGGGGGAAUGAUUAACACAUGCAAGUCGAACGAGACCUUCGGGUCUAGUGGCGCACGGGUGCGUAACGCGUGGGAACCUGCCCUUAGGUUCGGAAUAACUCCCCGAAAGGGGUGCUAAUACCGGAUAAUGUCUUCGGACCAAAGAUUUAUCGCCUUUGGAUGGGCCCGCGUUGGAUUAGCUAGUUGGUAGGGUAAAAGCCUACCAAGGCGACGAUCCAUAGCUGGUCUGAGAGGAUGAUCAGCCACACUGGGACUGAGACACGGCCCAGACUCCUACGGGAGGCAGCAGUGGGGAAUAUUGGACAGUGGGCGAAAGCCUGAUCCAGCAAUGCCGCGUGAGUGAUGAAGGCCUUAGGGUUGUAAAGCUCUUUUACCCGGGAUGAUAAUGACAGUACCGGGAGAAUAAGCUCCGGCUAACUACGUG
rnacentral:rRNA from 1 species